AUACGUAGGUGACAAGCGUUAUCCGGAUUUACUGGGCGUAAAGGGCGUGUAGGCGGUCUUGCAAGUCAGAAGUGAAAUUCCUGAGCUCAACUCGGGCGCUGCUUCUGAAACUGCAGGACUUGAGUGCUGGAGGGGAUAGCGGAAUUCCUAGUGGAGCGGUAAAAUGCGCAGAUAUUAGGAAGAACACCGGUGGCGAAGGCGGCUAUCUGGACAGUAACGGACGCUGAGGCGCGAAAGCGUGGGGAGCUAACAGGAUUAGAUACCCUGGUAGUCCACGCCGUAGACGAUGAAUACUAGGUGUAGGGGGUAUCGACUCCCUCUGUGCCGCAGUUAACACAAUAAGUAUUCCGCCUGGGGAGUACGGCCGCAAGGUUGAAACUCAAAUGAAUUGGCGGGG
rnacentral:rRNA from 1 species